rnacentral:rRNA from 1 species
GUCGACUGUGCUCAGCCACCAGCAAGAACUUGGCAGAGGAAAUUCGAUGAUGAAGGCAAGAAGGUUGCUAAGUUUAGCAUGACCAUGAAUGAUCUCAUGACAAUGGUGCCCUUUAUUGCCAAAAUGCUUCGACUAUACGUCCAAGAAAGCGCGAAAGGCCAAGCUUCGGUCUAUGAUCCUUUCAGGAAAUGGAUGGACAACUGCUACCGCGGGGUACCCCUCGGCGCACUAGGUGCAGGAAGCAUAGGGAGAAGCUACAGAGGGUACUUCCAGCAUUUCCAAAUAUUCCCCAGGAUGUUUGAAGAGAAGCCUAUCCUGGCCAACCAGUUCUCCGCAUUCGUUUCGCGUCCCGGCGGGAAGAGCUACUCCACGGUGCUGUCGGCACCGAAGGCCGAUGUCCUGAAGGGAAUUGAUAAAGCCGGUAUCGGAUCUUGGGACUGGAAACUGAGAGAGAAGAAUUGCACUUACCAUGGCUUGUUCCCAAGAUCCUGGACUGUCUAUGAUGGUGAGCCUGACCUUGAAAUCAAGAUCACCUGCCGUCAGAUAUCACCCUUCAUCCCUCACAACUACAAAGAAAGCAGCUUCCCGGUUGCGGUUUUCACUUUUACGGUACAAAAUUCAGGGAGCACACCCGCAGAUGUCACAUUGCUCUUCACAUGGGCAAAUUCCGUGGGUGGAAAAUCGGAACUGACCGGGAAUCACACCAACUCCAGGAUGAAAGCGCGAGACGGCGUCCAUGGCGUCCUCCUCCACCACAGGACAGCGGACGGGCACCCUCCGGUGACGUUCGCGAUUGCGUCUCAGGAGACCGGCGGUGUCCGCGUCACCUGCUGCCCGUCCUUCGCGAUGGGCCCGUCCGUUCCCGGCGGCGAGCAGUUCACGGCCAAGGACAUGUGGGAGGAGGCCAAGAACCGCGGCGCCUUCGGCGGGGCGCCCAGAGCGUCGGCGUCGUCGAGGCCUGGAUCGUCCAUCGGGGCGGCGGUCGCGGCGACGACGACGGUGCCGGCGGGAGGCACGCGUGCGGUGUCGUUCGCGCUCUCGUGGUCGUGUCCCGAGGUGAAGUUCCCCGCCGGGAGAACCUACCACCGGAGGUACACCAAGUUCCUCGGCCUGGAUAGGGACGCGGCCGCUGAACAAUUGGCCCACGACGCCCUUCUCGAACACAUGAAGUGGGAGUCUCUGAUCGAGGAGUGGCAGAGGCCUGUUCUGCAUGACAAGAGGCUGCCUGAAUGGUACCCGGUUGCGCUGUUCAACGAGCUUUACUAUCUCAACGCUGGAGGCACAAUUUGGACAGAUGGGCUGCCUCCGAAGAAGACCAGCUUUGCUUCCUCAAACUCAAAGCACGGGUCGACGACGGAGUCCUUCUCUCUAGACGGGUUCCGUCCAGGUGAUCCUGCAGCGGACGGCAUCCUGCGCGCAAUGGCGCGGCGGAGGAGCGGCUGGAAGCAUCGUCAGCGUUCGGCACGGCGCUGCUCGGCGACGGCGAGGAGAGCGUGGGGCGGUUCCUGUACCUGGAGGGGAUGGAGUACCACCUGUGGAACACGUACGACGUCCACUUCUACGCCUCCUUCGCGCUGCUCUCCCUCUUCCCGGAGAUCGAGCUGGGCCUCCAGCGCGACUUCGCCAGGGCCGUCCUCCACCACGACCCGCGCCCCAUGCGCACCCUCGACGGCGCCACCGUCCCGCGCAAGGUCCUCGGCGCCGUGCCGCACGACGUCGGCCUGCGCGACCCCUGGUUCCAGCUCAACGCCUACAUGAUCCACGACCCGGCGCGCUGGAAGGACCUCAACCCCAAGUUCGUCCUCCAGGUCUACCGCGACGUCGCGGCCACCGGGGACGCCGCGUUCGCGGCCGCCGUGUGGCCCGCGGUUUACCUGGCCAUGGCGUACAUGCACCAGUUCGACCGCGACGGGGACGGCAUGGUGGAGAACGAGGGCCGCCCCGACCAGACCUACGACUUCUGGUCCGUCUCCGGCGUCAGCGCCUACACCGGCGGCCUCUGGGUCGCGGCCCUCCAGGCGGCCGCCGCCAUGGCGCGCGUCGUCGGCGACCGCGGCUCCGAGGGGUACUUCCUCGAGCGGUACGGGCGGGCGCGGCGCGUGUACGACGGCGAGCUCUGGAACGGCGCCUACUUCGACUACGAUAACAGCGGCAGCACGAACAGCAAGUCCAUCAUGGCCGACCAGCUCGCCGGGCAGUGGUACGCGCGCGCGUGCGGGCUGGAGCCGAUCAUCGAGGAGGAGAAGGCACGCAGCGCGCUGGCGACGGUGCUGGACUACAACGUGAUGCGGGUGCAGGGCGGCACGGUGGGCGCCGUGAACGGGAUGCGGCCGGACGGCGCCGUGGACGCGUCCUCGAUACAAUCCAGGGAGGUGUGGCCCGGGGUCACCUACGCCGUGGCCGCCGCCAUGGUCCACGAGGGCAUGACGGAGGCGGCGUUCCGGACGGCGAAGGGCGCGCACGACGCCGGGUGGGACAGGGACGGGUUCGGGUACGCGUUCCAGAUGCCGGAGGCGUGGACGGCCGACGGCGGCAGCGGGUACCGGUCGCUACACUACAUGCGGCCCCUCUGCAUCUGGGCGAUGCAGUGGGCGCUGUCGCCGCCGGAGCUCCACAUGGACGUCAGGGUGUUGCCGGGUUCGGUGUCCGCCGUGGCGUCGCCGGCAGAGGUGGUCCUGGCUCGGGAGAAGUUCGAGGAGGUGGCGAGCAUGCUGAGGCUGCCGGAGGAAGAACAGCACAAGGGAUAUCUCAGAGCUCUGUACCAAAUUCUCCGGCAGACGCUGCUCCCGGCAUCCUGAUUCUCUUACGGAUCUGCUAAUUUACAUGCGGAUGAAAACAAUUCGCCUUCAUCCGUUUUCUAUGCCCUAAGAUCUGUGCGUGGAGAUUCGUGUGUGUGACCCGUUAUUUGUCUCGUUUUUCUUAUCGGGUCCGUGUGGUUGACCCGUUAUUUUUUCCAUCGCAACCCGCGUGUCUGUGUGGUUGACACUGUCGCCCUCCUCCCAGCCGAACACGCAACCCCGAACAGAGUCGAGCGAGAGAGAGAUAGCCAUGGCGAUUUGGAGCUCCGCCUCACCGCUCGAUCCUUUUUGUUGUUCUUGUGAUCUGUUAGGUUAUAGAUUAAAGUAUGGGGAGACUCAUGAAGGCUUUUGAUAAGGGCACUUCUGCUGCUUGUGUUCAAGAUUAUGAUGAUUCAGAUGGGGAUCCUUUUGUCCCCAAUGAUUUUGCUGAGGAUGAUCCUUUUCAAGAUUCGGAGGAACGUCAAAUGGAUGAUCAUGAUUUCGAGAAAGUCUUAGGCUAUGCUUUUUAGCUGCUUUUUUCUAGUCUGGCUCUGAUAAAGAUGGGGAUUGUUUUCUGCUACUAGAAAGCCAUAUGUUAAGGAAAUCAACUUCAUCUUCAUUGAGAUUUGUUCAGGCAGGAGAGAGACGACAUGAGGUGAUGAAUGCACAGGAGACGCGC